rnacentral:misc_RNA from 1 species
ACAGUACUUGAGGCCGUGGCAGCCAGAAUCUAGUGUGCUUCAUUUGGUACAAUCAAACAAACGCAUUAAUGAUCAUGACAGUGACUGCAUUCUUCUGUCUAUCCCUUGUGUUGGCAGACCGAGUCAAGUAGCAUCAUUACAUCCAAAAAGCCUCCACCAGAUAACGUAGUACUAUGGACGAUGUGAUUUAACACCUUUGGUGGGGAUCGACUGGGCUGGAUCAAGCGGGGAUCGUCCAAGGUGUUGGGAAUCUUUGAAGAAGGAUAAAUUUAUCAGUGGGCCACUGCACAGCAGCCAGCGUGUGCCAAUGGAAGCCUCCGUUCUUUUCCCGAGGUCUUACUUAUUGGACAUUCCUCGAAUGUUUUUGUAAAGUGCUCCUAAUUAUGUAAAAAGUCGCCCACUCUUCACUACAGAUGUGCACAAUCAACUCAAGGUUUUUUUUCUUUACUCCGAAAGCGAUGAAGACAUAGCAGGCACACGUUCAGAGGAAUUAUCGAGUGUUGGGUUGCUUUUCUUCUGCUCUAGUAGACCUGGAUUACAUUUGCCAUGAAAAAAAGACCAUGCUUUUUGUUUCCUUUUGAUCUUAUCAAAUUACCAUUUUUUUGAAAACAAUAUCCCCCAAAGCAUAUACAGACUACCUAUAGAUCUAUAUAUAUAUAUAUACCGGCUGUAACUGAAUCGUGUCGCCGAUUAUAGUUGCCUAUAUCGAUUAUCAUUUCAGGUAGAUCAAUACACUUUUAAAAAACAUACCCAAUCAUGUUAGAAGUAUUAAGGGUUUCGGAAUCUCAUGCUCUCACCUGAUUGCUCUACUUUGAUCUUUUGUGCGUAUCCGGGAAAAAGGGAAUAUUGGAAUGAAAUAUGUAUAGAUUUUUUGGUUUAUGAAUAAAAGGAAUAAUACCU